rnacentral:lncRNA from 1 species
ACUACAAAGAAAAACCAGGGGCAACUAAAUCUAUUUCGUGAGUUACAAUAACUUGUUAAAAAGGGUAAGUCCUUUUCUUACAGAAAAGACACAGUCCUUAAACCACUGCAAAUUUGCUCUAACUCGUGCGUUCAAUAUUACUAUUCAAUUGCUACCGCAAGAAGGAAACUUUGACACACAACCAGAAACGUGGUUUACUGUCGCACGGAAUUGCGGGUCGUUUUGGACCCACCUAUACUGGAUAAAAAUAAAAAUGUCACUACUUUUGUUUCUAUUUCCUUCUAUUACAAACUUUGAGAGGAAGAUAAAAUAAAUUGCAUUAAAACUAUCAUAAAGAGUUUUUUUUCAAAAAAAAAA